rnacentral:tRNA from 1 species
CGGGAUGUGGCGCAGUUGGUAGCGCACCUGCUUUGGGAGCAGGGGGUCGGGAGUUCGAGUCUCCCCAUCCCGA